rnacentral:misc_RNA from 1 species
GAUGAAGAACGUAGCGAAAUGCGAUAAGUAAUGUGAAUUGCAGAAUUCAGUGAAUCAUCGAAUCUUUGAACGCACCUUGCGCUCCCUGGUAUUCCGGGGAGCACGCCCGUUUGAGUGUCAUGGUAUUCUCAACCUUCAUAACUUUUGUGACUGAAGGCUUGGAUGUGGAGGUCGUGCUGGCUCUCGCGAGUCAGCUCCUCUGAAAUGCAUUAGCGUGAACGUUUACGGAUCGCUAUCAGUGUGAUAAUUAUCUGCGCUGUUAGUGUUGAAGUAUGUCUAGUGUCGCGCUUCUAACCGUCCUUCAUUUGGACAACUUAUCUGACAUCUGGCCUCAAAUCGGGCGGGACUACCCGCUGAACUUAAGCAUAUCAAUAAGCGGAGGA